GACGAACGCUGGCGGCGUGCUUAACACAUGCAAGUCGAACGGAAAGGCCCUGCUUUUGUGGGGUGCUCGAGUGGCGAACGGGUGAGUAACACGUAAGUAACCUGCCCUUGACUUUGGGAUAACUUCAGGAAACUGGGGCUAAUACCGGAUAGGAGCUCCUGCUGCAUGGUGGGGGUUGGAAAGUUUCGGCGGUUGGGGAUGGACUCGCGGCUUAUCAGCUUGUUGGUGGGGUAGUGGCUUACCAAGGCUUUGACGGGUAGCCGGCCUGAGAGGGUGACCGGCCACAUUGGGACUGAGAUACGGCCCUGACUCCUACGGGAGGCAGCAGUGGGGAAUAUUGCACAAUGGGCGGAAGCCUGAUGCAGCAACGCCGCGUGCGGGAUGACGGCCUUCGGGUUGUAAACCGCUUUCGCCUGUGACGAAGCGUGAGUGACGGUAAUGGGUAAAGAAGCACCGGCUAACUACGUG
rnacentral:rRNA from 1 species